rnacentral:rRNA from 1 species
UACGUAGGGGGCAAGCGUUGUCCGGAUUUAUUGGGCGUAAAGAGCGUGUAGGCGGUUUGGUAGGUCCGCUGUGAAAACUCGAGGCUCAACCUCGAGACGCCGGUGGAAACCAUCAGACUAGAGUCCGGAAGAGGAGAGUGGAAUUCCUGGUGUAGCGGUGAAAUGCGCAGAUAUCAGGAAGGAACACCCGUGGCUAAGGCGGCUCUCUAGUACGGUACUGGACGCUGAGACGCGAAAGCGUGGGGAGCAAACAGG